UAUAUACUCCCUCCGUCCAACAAAAGAUGUCUCAAGUUUGUCAAAAUUUAGAUGUAUCUAGACAUGACUUAGUGUAUAUAUGCAUUCAAAUUUAGUUAAAGUUGAGACAUCUUUUGUUGGACGGAGGAAGUAUAAC
rnacentral:pre_miRNA from 1 species